UUAGAGUUUGAUCCUGGCUCAGAUUCGUCGCUGGCGGCAGGCCUAACACAUGCAAGUCGAGCGGAUGAAGAGAGCUUGCUCUCUGAUUCAGCGGCGGACGGGUGAGUAAUGCCUAGGAAUCUGCCUGGUAGUGGGGGACAACGUUUCGAAAGGAACGCUAAUACCGCAUACGUCCUACGGGAGAAAGCAGGGGACCUUCGGGCCUUGCGCUAUCAGAUGAGCCUAGGUCGGAUUAGCUAGUAGGUGAGGUAAUGGCUCACCUAGGCGACGAUCCGUAACUGGUCUGAGAGGAUGAUCAGUCACACUGGAACUGAGACACGGUCCAGACUCCUACGGGAGGCAGCAGUGGGGAAUAUUGGACAAUGGGCGAAAGCCUGAUCCAGCCAUGCCGCGUGUGUGAAGAAGGUCUUCGGAUUGUAAAGCACUUUAAGUUGAGAAGAAGGGCAGUAAGUUAAUACCUUGCUGUUUUGACGUUACCAACAGAAUAAGCACCGGCUAACUUCGUGCCAGCAGCCGCGGUAAUACGAAGGGUGCAAGCGUUAAUCGGAAUUACUGGGCGUAAAGCGCGCGUAGGUGGUUCAGCAAGUUGGAGGUGAAAUCCCCGGGCUCAACCUGGGAACUGCCUCCAAAACUACUGAGCUAGAGUACGGUAGAGGGUAGUGGAAUUUCCUGUGUAGCGGUGAAAUGCGUAGAUAUAGGAAGGAACACCAGUGGCGAAGGCGCCUACCUGGACUGAUACUGACACUGAGGUGCGAAAGCGUGGGGAGCAAACA
rnacentral:rRNA from 1 species